AUUGAUUUUAUGCUUGCAUAAAUGAUUUUUGGAUUCGGAGCGAGUGGCGAACUGGUGAGUAACACGUGGGUAACCUGCCCCGAAGCGGGGGAUAACAUUUGGAAACAAAUGCUAAUACCGCAUAAUUAGUCAGAACCGCAUGGUUCCGACUUAAAAGAUGGCUCUGCUAUCACUUCGGGAUGGGCCCGCGCCGUAUUAGUUAGUUGGUGAGAUGAAAGCCCACCAAGACGAUGAUACGUAGCCGACCUGAGAGGGUAAUCGGCCACAUUGGGACUGAGACACGGCCCAGACUCCUACGGGAGGCAGCAGUAGGGAAUCUUCCACAAUGGACGAAAGUCUGAUGGAGCAACGCCGCGUGAGUGAUGAAGGGUUUCGGCUCGUAAAACUCUGUUGUUAAAGAAGAACAAGCAUGAGAGUAACUGUUCAUGCUUUGACGGUAUUUAACCAGAAAGCCACGGCUAACUACGUGCCAGCAGCCGCGGUAAUACGUAGGUGGCAAGCGUUGUCCGGAUUUAUUGGGCGUAAAGCGAGCGCAGGCGGUUUUGUAAGUCUGCUGUGAAAGCCCUCAGCUCAACUGAGGAAGUGCAGUGGAAACUACAAAACUUGAGUACAGAAGAGGAAAGUGGAACUCCAUGUGUAGCGGUGAAAUGCGUAGAUAUAUGGAAGAACACCAGUGGCGAAGGCGGCUUUCUGGUCUGUUACUGACGCUGAGGCUCGAAAGCAUGGGUAGCGAACAGGAUUAGAUACCCUGGUAGUCCAUGCCGUAAACGAUGAAUACUAGGUGUUGGAGGGUUUCCGCCCUUCAGUGCCGCAGCUAACGCAUUAAGUAUUCCGCCUGGGGAGUACGACCGCAAGGUUGAAACUCAAAGGAAUUGACGGGGGCCCGCACAAGUGGUGGAGCAUGUGGUUUAAUUCGAUGCUACGCGAAGAACCUUACCAGCUCUUGACAUCUUCUGCCAACCUAAGAGAUUAGGCGUUCCCUUCGGGGACAGAAUGACAGGUGGUGCAUGGUUGUCGUCAGCUCGUGUCGUGAGAUGUUGGGUUAAGUCCCGCAACGAGCGCAACCCUUAUUAUUAGUUGCCAGCAUUUAGUUGGGCACUCUAGUGAGACUGCCGGUGAUAAA
rnacentral:rRNA from 1 species